UCUCGAUUGGUCUAGUGGUCAGGAUACCUGCUUGUCAUCCGUUUCGGUGGUUAAUCCCGUCGGAGGUUCGAUGCGCAGGUGGCCGGGGUUCGAUUCCCCGAUCGAGAG